CCUGAGUGGCUGCCUGGCAUCCUGCAGAGAACCAGUCACCAGCACCUCCUGAUCAUCACCAGCAGGUGGCGCCCCUGACCUAGGCACUGGGCCCCUCUGCACCCUGGGUUCUGGGUGGAGCUGGGAGGGAGCCAGCUUGGGCGGGGUGGAGCCCUGGGCGCCUACCCUGGACCGAAGUCAGGUGGUGAGCACGAGCGGAUCCGGCUUCUUUACCUUCCUGAGGCCUCAGUCAAGGGGCUGGCUGCCUGCCCUGUGCAGUUUAGAGGACUGUGUCCCUGGGGCAGUGGGUGCAAUAAAUUUCAGGACUCUGACCCAGGUACAGGGGGCACAGGAGGGUAAGGGCUCCCUUGCUCUCCCCUGGCAGUGGUCCCUCUUCACAAUCUGGGAAAAUGUCCAGAGGCUGUGCUGGGUGGGGAGUUUCGCAAACCGGUCCAGUGGGUCAAAACCAGUCCAGCCACUGCACUGAACACAGUCUUCUGCGGUGGGUCACACCUGCAAUCCCAUGGCUUGGAGAAGCUGAGGCCGGAGGAUGGCUUGAGCCCAGGAGUUCGAGACUGCCCUCUGCACCCCAACCUGAAUGACAGAGCAAAGCAAGACCCUGUUGUCUUUUUAUUUUAAAAAACUUUUUUAAAGUAAGUUCUGGAGCCCAACUAUCUGGUCCAACUCUGGCUUUGCCGCUGUUUUGGGCAGGGGAGAGUCAGACCCUGGGACAAGGAUUCCAGAGCAAGUGCUUGGUUUGGGAGAUGCAGGAAGCCCCAGGGGAGGGCGCAAGAGGCAGGGAUGGGAAGAAGCCAGUAAAUUGUGUGUUAUCAAGGCAGUUACCAGUGAAGCUCCAGGCUCCCGGCUGUGGGAGCCCUGGGAGACAGUGUGCAGCAGGCCCCAGAAGUUGUCUCGCUGAGGAGCAAGGGGCUGGAGUAGUUGUUCACCACCCCCACAGCCACUGUUGGCCAAGAGCCUCUCCUAGGGCAGGGACUCCAGGCCUCCAGCUGUGGAGCCCGCCCACCCUUGCAGCUGGGAGAAGCAGCCCAAGGAUCCUGCUGGGACAUCCCAAGCUUAGACGUGAAGAGGAUUUGUGUUUAAUUCUCCCCUCUUCAACCCGGUCCUCCACCUCUCUCCGAAGACGGUCAGGCGUUCUCCCUGUAUCUGCCUCUCCCUUCGUGCCAUGCUCUCAGGCCCUUUGUGGUGAAGCCAGGUGGCCGUCCUCCUGCCCUGCCCCUGAAGUAGAAAUCUCCAAGACCCUGCUGUGUUUCAUGGCCCCACCCAGGAGCUGCAACUCCAUGUCCCCACCUAUAUCCUCGGCCUGCAUGAGCCCCUCUCGCUUUCCUCUCGCAGGAGCCUCAGGCGCAGAGCCUGGGGAUUCUGGCCUGACACUGAUGGCCUUCUCUUUUUUGAUAUGGAGUCUCACUCCAUGGCACAGGCUGGAGUGCAGUGGCAGAUCUCAGCUCACUGACCCUUCAUCUCUCAGAUUUAAGUGA
rnacentral:lncRNA from 13 species